rnacentral:rRNA from 1 species
CAGCAGUGGGGAAUUUUGCGCAAUGGGGGAAACCCUGACGCAGCAACGCCGCGUGGAGGAUGAAGUCUUUCGGGACGUAAACUCCUUUCGAUCGGGACGAUAAUGACGGUACCGGAAGAAGAAGCCCCGGCUAACUUCGUU